rnacentral:lncRNA from 1 species
GCUGCUGCUGCUGCAUAAACUGCAAACAGGAAAGAAGAUUUUAGACAGUUUGAUUUCCAUUUUAAAGGAGGCAUAUGAGAGAGAAAAAAAGAAAAACCAAAAGUAAAAUCUAACUUGAAAACUAUCUUCGACGUCGGAGUUUCGAGGUCCGCCAUUUUUCUUUUGCAAUUUUCAUUUCAAUGAUGCUACAUUGGCACGUGCUCAUUUACACUAUUGACAUGUUGCUUUGUUUCUUUAUGUUUUAAGAAUAAUACGGUGAGUUUUGGAAGUCAAAGCAUAUGGUUUUGGUGGCUCCGAUCUUAUUGGUUGUAAAUACUUAGGUGGUUCUGAUUAUUUGGGUUGUAACGACACCAAGACUUCGUUAAAUAGGCUGAUAUGGGUGUUGGUGGGGUACCUGCUUGAAAAAUAAACUAGUGUCUCUUUUCUUAAAUGUCAUCUCUGUUUCUUCUCUUGUCUGCUUCUUUUCUGCUUCUUCUUUAUUUUUUUUCUUGUGUUGUUGUUUCUCUGCUGUUAGUGUGUUGUAAUUCUCAAGCAAAACUCAACCCAAGAUCAACACGCAACAACGUAUCAGAGUUGACGAUCUACGAUGUCUGGCAACGAUGUUUCUACUCAGCUUCAAAAGGAUGUGGGUGGUCUGCAGCAGGCGGUGGCAAAGCUG